rnacentral:rRNA from 1 species
UACGUAGGGUGCAAGCGUUAAUCGGAAUUACUGGGCGUAAGGCGUGCGCAGGCGGUUUUGUAAGUCUGUCGUGAAAGCCCCGGGCUCAACCUGGGAAUUGCGAUGGAGACUGCAAGGCUUGAAUCUGGCAGAGGGGGGUAGAAUUCCACGUGUAGCAGUGAAAUGCGUAGAGAUGUGGAGGAACACCGAUGGCGAAGGCAGCCCCCUGGGUCAAGAUUGACGCUCAUGCACGAAAGCGUGGGGAGCAAACAGG